rnacentral:lncRNA from 1 species
AUUUGAUGUUGUCUCUGUAAAGUAGUAUUUAAUGACUUUCGAGAAUUAAUAAAUACUCGCAUAUUUCUGUUGAGAUAUUUAGGACCUCGAAAACGACGUUCAACGAUCAGGAUAUAAUAUUAUCGAUCAACGUACACAAUUUUCAACAAGAAAAUUAUUAAUUCCACUUGGACAAUUGGGACUAAACAAGAACAGGGGUGUUAAACUAAUCGAUGCUAAAAGGUGUGAUGCAACAUCAGUGCAAUUUAAAAAAUGCUAGAGAACGUUUAUCAUCGACAUGUCUCUAUAUAUGCACUACAAAUUCAAUUAGUUUCGCUCAAUAGAUGGUAAUAAUAGAGCUCAGCAAAUAUGAUCGCAUAUGGAAAUGUAUGCAUAACGUGCACGAAACUAAACUUUCAGGUGUGUCACGUUUCUAAUGGAAUAAAAUAUACGUCAAUAAUCAUACAGUGUAAUGGUACGUGGGUAACAAGCGACCGAACAACGAAGCAGUCUAGUUAGGGGUAUACUCUAGCUACAGCUCUCACUUUGAAUGCACCAUUGAUUUGUAGCAUUAUUAUAGUACUACUGCCAAAAAAUCAAUAAACUUUCCGGCCAACUGAAAUGAAAAGGAACGGCCAAAGUCUUAGCGCAUCGCAAAAUCUCGUCUAAAGCGGAAAGAAAGGAGGGACGCGUCUCGAAGUGAAAGGCACAGACGAGGGAGAAAAAAGACAUCAAGCGGCAUGACACGAUGAAUAAUAGAAGAAACAAACGGAAAGACGAUCGACGUGAGAAAAGAUAUUAAAACGUAUCUCUGAAAAGUGCGAUCAAAAAGCGUUCCGCGCUUUUCUCGGAUCGAGCACGGCAAGGUCCGACGUCCAAGUACCGCGGUCUCACAUCCCGGAUUAUCGUCCAUCGUCACGCAUUUUCUUUCUCAUCUCUCGCACUUCAACGUUUUCAUUCUGUCGUUGCCUUUCUCGUGGCUGUUCGUUGCUACGAAAACUUGCAGAGUUUCUAUGUUGUCGGACGUUGCCAGGAAAGACUGGAGGAUCGAACCGAUCAAGGAUAGUUUCGUGGAUUUUGCUCGAUUCUUUUCGACUGAACGACCGAAACACAUGCAGCAAAAGAGAACAAGAUUCAGCAAAGUCCGACAAUAGCAGGUAAUUCGUGUGUGUGACGAAAGUUUCGGCG